rnacentral:rRNA from 1 species
AUUGAACGCUGGCGGCAGGCCUAACACAUGCAAGUCGAGCGGUAACACAGGGAGCUUGCUCCCGGGUGACGAGCGGCGGACGGGUGAGUAAUGUCUGGGAAACUGCCUGAUGGAGGGGGAUAACUACUGGAAACGGUAGCUAAUACCGCAUAACGUCGCAAGACCAAAGAGGGGGACCUUCGGGCCUCUUGCCAUCAGAUGUGCCCAGAUGGGAUUAGCUAGUAGGUGGGGUAACGGCUCACCCAGGCGACGAUCCCUAGCUGGGCUGAGAGGAUGACCAGCCACACUGGAACUGAGACACGGUCCAGACUCCUACGGGAGGCAGCAGUGGGGAAUAUUGCACAAUGGGCGCAAGCCUGAUGCAGCCAUGCCGCGUGUAUGAAGAAGGCCUUCGGGUUGUAAAGUACUUUCAGCGGGGAGGAAGGUGCUGAGGUUAAUAACCUCAGCAAUUGACGUUACCCGCAGAAGAAGCACCGGCUAACUCCGUGCCAGCCGCCGCGGUAACAC